rfam:Triticum aestivum genome assembly, contig: Triticum_aestivum_CS42_TGACv1_scaffold_642875_T_4BL-0.221181_5AL-0.155640
UAAGUACUCCCUCCGUUCAAAAAUACUUGUCACAGAAAUGGAUAAAAAUAGAUGUAUCUAGAACUUAAAUAUGUCUAGAUACAUGAAUCUCUGCGACAAGUAUUUCCGGACGAAGGGAGUACGAA